GACGAACGCUGGCGGCGUGCUUAACACAUGCAAGUCGAACGGAAAGGCCCUGCUUUUGUGGGGUGCUCGAGUGGCGAACGGGUGAGUAACACGUGAGUAACCUGCCCUUGACUUUGGGAUAACUUCAGGAAACUGGGGCUAAUACCGGAUAGGAGCUCCUGCUGCAUGGUGGGGGUUGGAAAGUUUCGGCGGUUGGGGAUGGACUCGCGGCUUAUCAGCUUGUUGGUGGGGUAGUGGCUUACCAAGGCUUUGACGGGUGGCCGGCCUGAGAGGGUGACCGGCCACAUUGGGACUGAGAUACGGCCCAGACUCCUACGGGAGGCAGCAGUGGGGAAUAUUGCACAAUGGGCGGAAGCCUGAUGCAGCAACGCCGCGUGCGGGAUGACGGGCUUCGGGUUGUAAACCGCUUUCGCCUGUGACGAAGCGUGAGUGACGGUAAUGGGUAAAGAAGCACCGGCUAACUACGUG
rnacentral:rRNA from 1 species